rnacentral:rRNA from 1 species
CCCUUAGAUGUUCUGGGCCGCACGCGCGCUACACUGUUCGACGCAGCGAGUCUUAACCUUGACCGAAAGGUUUGGGUAAUCUUCAGCAAAGUCGAACGUGAUGGGGAUCGAUCAUUGCAAUUAUUGAUCGUGAACGAGGAAUUCCUAGUAAGUGCAAGUUAUCAGCUUGCGCUGAUUACGUCCCUGCCCUUUGUACACACCGCCCGUCGCUACUACCGAUUGAAUGGUUUAGUGAGAUCUCUGGAUUGACGCUGGCUAGGGGGCGACCCUUGGCCAGACUGUUGAGAAACUGCUCAAACUUGAUCAUUUAGAGGAAGUAAAAGUCGUAACA